CCAACAAUUCUACAGAACAUUCUAUAAAACACGGCGGCGGCCUUUCCACUUCGCGCACACUCACGAAUGCUGCCGCCCCUCCGACGGACCGCUUAUUGCUCAUACCCGUCAGCCGUCACUCUAUACUUCAUUUGCGCUCCGCUCUCUCAAGCAGACGGUUCCCUGUUCGACGAUUUUCCUGCCGGUGCUCCGAGAACAAAAUGGCGGACGAAAUUGCCGCCCAAAAGCCGAAAAAGACAUCCGCCAAGCCACCAUCUGGUGCAAGCCAUUGGCGUCGGAGCCUUUGCUUUUCCACGCCCGGCAGCUGACCAACGGACUUGAUUUUCGUCACUCUAUGAAAUUUCAAAUGGUAUUGAAACCACAGAUAUUAAUAUCAUAACUUACAACAAUGAUUGGAGAUCUAUAAUGUUGAACAUUUGACCAUAUAAAAUGUUGUCAGAGACAAUACAUGCAUCUCAAGGUAGAGUUUGAUUAUGUGGGUACAAUCUUUAAUAUGGCCAUGCUGUAAGUAAGGAUUUUAUGCUUAAUUCAAGUAAGGAUAGAGGAGUGGGUUUUCAUUACACAAUUAUUUUACCAAUUGGAUUGGUAUAUAAGUAUUGUGAAUCCAACAUCACGUCAUUAUUAUUAUUCAACCAUCAUUACACACAGGUUGGAAAACUUUCUCCACAGUUAAACCCUGAGUUAGGUUGUUAAUUCUAGGGUUUAUUAGAAGGUUAUUGUUUAUUCAUCGCUAUAAUUAUUAGCCAUGACCAGUGUUGAAGAUUAUACUACUUCAACGCUUAACUAAUUAUAUAUUGACUAAAUCUUCGCUUGUCAACAAUUUCUAAGGUAUUCUUAUCAACGAACAACUUUGUUUUAUUGAAGCAACAUUAUAAAAUAAUUUUAUUUUUAGUUCUAUGUGCAUCUAAUGUGUUUUAGAUUUUCCAAACCUCAUAUAUUAGAAGUUGGAGUUAAUAUAUCUAAUGGAUGGUCCUUAAGAUGAAGUGUUUAAAAUUGGAAAUGUGUUAUAAACAUUUAGACACGACUGGAUAUUUUUGUAUCUAUUACUUUGUAUUAGCAAAGAGGUUGGUGGAGUGACUGGUGAUCAAUCCCUAAUCAACCCCAUCUAAGUUGCUGUUGUAGACUCAGACAUGAAGUUAACUAGUGCAAAACAAAUUAUACUACAUACAAAUUAUUUUGGCUCUUUAGUCUAGAGCUCUAUGGGCUUGAAGUUGUCAAUUUUUUUUUUAUGUAACAUUUUAUUUUCAACACAAUUUUAAAUCUGUUUGCAUAGUGUUUAUUUAACACAAGUGCCUCCGUAUUCUUUUCAAACCCAAAAAUGUAUUUAUUUUGAAAAUAAUAGAAAAUAAUUUGUAAACUAACAUAACUUGAAAGUAAUCAAUAAACAUACAACUAUUUGACUUUAUACUAUCUUAUGUAUCAAUAUAUCUAUAAUGUUGUCUAAAGGAAUAAUUAAUAUGAUGCCUUAGUUCUGUUAUCUACCUGACUUCAAUUCUAAAAUAAUAAUAUAUACCAUGAUAUAUUUACAUUGUUGAAAUAGAUGUAUUAAUAGAAGUUAGAAGUUAUUGAUAUGAGGAGUUGUAUUGUAAACUUUGUAUUUUAUAUACAUAUGUUAAUACCUACAUCUUUAUUUUUUUUUACAUAAACAUAAUAAAUUGUUUUAUAUAAAUUUAAGUUUAAAUUAUUUAUAGGUUGAAUAUAUUUUAAUAUUUUUUUAAACUUAAGGUAAAAACAAACAGUUGUCUAUAUAUUUUUAACAUUAAAUGUUUCUUAUUCAAAAUUCAUACUUUAAAAUUAUUUCCUUAUUAUUUUAGAAAACCACGAGUAAUAUAAUCUUUAAAGCUAUGCUAUUUAUUGAAUAGUAUUUGUAUUUAAAGUUUGAUUGUUUAGCCUGAACAGAAAAAGCAAUUAUCGCCUAGUAUUAAAAUAGUUGAAUCUAUUUUUAUCAGAUAUAUUCUCAUCAAUGUUUAUCACAACUGGGGUAAAAUAAAUGUUCUAUGAAAGUCUAUAAUCAUGAUAAGCGGACAAAUAAUUAUGAUUUUGACACAAAAAAUAACAUGCGGAAUACUCAUUAGUUUGAUCCGAUAAACCACCAAUGUGUCUAAAAGUUAGAAAAUUGACGCAGUUUAUCAAGUUCUCUGUGACUAAAUAAAUCAUACGCUCCGUGAGGUUUAUUAUACUAAAUUAUAUAUAUAUAUAUAUUUAUAUAUUUUUGUAAUAAUAAUAUUGAUGAUAGUAAUAUAUAUAUAUAUAUAUACUUAUAGAAAGUAUAUAUAAUAUAUUUGUAUAAAAAUAGACAAAAAAAAUGUCCCAAUUCACUUGUUUUUAUAGGAUUGCGCACGUAAUUAAACGUUUCCUGCAGACCUCGUCAGAAUUGAUGCUAGAAACAUAUAUUGCUUUUAGUAUAUACGUAUACGUUAAAUUGACUCUCAGCAAAACCUUAGAAGUAGAGAAGCCAAAGCGGAGAAUGUUCGUGGAUGAAUAAUCACGAAUGUGUCAUCUUAUAUACACUUUAUAUUGUGUAGAGGUACAGUUUUACUCGGCUUUUAUUGGUGACAUGCUUCUGGAUGUAUGUGUUUCGAAUACGCUGAAAUUACCUAUUUGACAUUGUACAGGUCGCGUUCAAGUGAUGUUGUUUGAUUUAAAUUUAUUAAAAAAUAAAUAAAUACAAAUUUAAAAUAUGAUUUUGUUAUGUUCUAUACAUUAUGUUAUGUGAUUAAUCUAAAAGUUCACAGCAAUUGGCGAGGAGAAAAAAUUCCCAAGGGUCGAAAAGUUUGACCACAAUUGUUUGUUUUUCGAUCGAUGAGAGUACAAUGGUUUGGUGUGUAAUGUAAGGGCAAAAACUUUUUUAAACUGUUUUUGAUAACAAUUAAUAUUUAUACGACAAAUUUGCAUGUUUACCUUUGCGCGUUUGCACUUUGUUUGGUACCUGACGGUAUACUUUUAAUGCAAUCAGUUUGAAAAUGUAUAAAUUACAGCGAGAUUCGGACGACAAACAAGUAUUAUUUUAAAAAUGUACACAACGUGUAUAAUGUAUAUUAUGAUGUAUAUACCAGAUUAAUUAACAUAAAAUAAUAUAUUGGGUUUGAAGUGCAUUCCGGUCGAGUGUGUCUGAAAUUUAAUUUUGAUUAAUUUGCUUAAAUUUAAAAAAUAAUUUAUGCCGUAUUAUGCCCGUAUAUGGUUAUUGGUAAACGUGCAAAUUGUCGCGAACUAAUAUCAUGAUAUAAGCAUGCGUUUUGUUAGUAUUUGGUGUAUUAUAUGAGAUUGGUACUUACAUAUUAUAAAUAAGAUUUAUUGUUUAAAAUAAAAUAAUAAAUGUUUCUUAAAACAUUAUUACACGACUUGUAAUCUUGUCCAUGUCAAGUAGAUACAUUUUAGGUACAUCUUAUUGUAGAGCUAAUUUAUUUUCAUGUGUUGUUGUUAUUUAGCCUAUGUCAUGUGUUAGGUGUACUUUUGUAUUUAAUAUAGUCUGUGGCAGUAAAACUAAGAGAUUAAACGGCAUUCAAAUAAAAAAGUUAUCCACAUAAAUAGAGUUAAGACGAAUUUAAUUAUUAUGUUUAAUGAGUUACACUCGUAACAGUUGCGACAAAUAAUACAUUUUUAUUUUUUCAAUUUCGAUAUAACCUGUUAAUUUGUGUUAAACUGUAGUUAUUUUUAAACAUAUAUUUAUAUUGGCUUAAUAAACGGUAUAGAUACUGACAUAGAAUAAUGUUCAAAAAUAAGAUAUUGUGAAUUUAAAAAUAAACGUCAUGUUUAUGAUUAAUCUUUAGUUUUAAAUUGUAAAUGAAAAAUCAGAAAGUAAAUAUAAUUAAGAUUGAAACCAUAGUUUAAACUUGCGUUACUUUAUAGUUUCGAUUAAAAUAAAUAUAUUUUAAGAAUUGAAUAAAAAAUAAACGGUAAUAUUAUAGAUCACAUAAAAAAAACCUUAUAUUCUACUUUUUAUGUUUAUAUUAUUGUUUUCUUACCAAUAUGUAAGCUUACUGAGAGAAAGUUUUUACAUUGUGUAUUUUAGUGUUAAUUUGAUAUUAUUAUUUAUGGUUGAGAUAUAAUAUAUGAAUGUAAAAUAACGGUUGUCACGUGUUCAGUCUUAUCGUAUUUAAUUUAAGAACAAAAAUGUAAUUGAAAUGUAUCGUACGACCUCCAAAGGUUUUAAAAAAUAUACAAUACAUCUAUAUGGUGUUAUUGCACUUCUCUAUAGAAGCAUAUUAAGGUUGAUGUACAUUAUGCACGUCAUUGUUUGUAAUAUUUAUGAUAGUUUAUUAAAAUAUUUGCUUUUUGAUUUAUUUAUAUGGUCUAUUUUACAAUAUUUACCUACUAUUAAAUGUUGUUUGGUAGGUUUCCAUUAUAUUGAGUUUCGUAACAUUUAUUUGGAUUUUUACUUCUAUUUAUUUCUUUGGGUUUUAAAAUUAUGAUUUUGUUUGUAUGAAAACUAUUGAAAAUGUGUAUAUUUUCUCGAAAUUAUUUAUUUAUAUGUACGUGAAAUGUAUGGUAACACUAUUAAAGAAACAUUUUAGUGUGUACAGAAGUAUUAUAUUCCUAGUUCAUUUUUCUGCGUUGAAACAACAUCAUGAAAAUAAUAUUCUGAUAUUUGUAGAUCCAUAAAAAUGUUUUUAACGUUGCAUCCAUAUUAUUGUUAUUAUUGUUAUUUAUUUUUUUAUUACUAUUUUAUCUUUAUUAUCUUUCUCCUUUCUUUCCACUAUUUCAUUAUUAUAAUAUCAUUUCUAUUUAUUUAUCUUUUUGUAAUUCACCAAUGUGCGUAAAUUUUUUUAUUUCUUACAUCAUUUGCGUUUAUAGUUUAAUAAUAACAUAUAUAGAUAAAAGUAUAAUAAAUUAAAUUAUUACACGUAUACGUUAGGUGCAGUUAUAUUGUUUUUUUUUUUUAUCUUUUACGCAUACCAUCCCAUCAUUUUUAUACAUUAUUUACUGCAUAUUAUUUUAAUGCAUUUAUGGAAACAAAUUAAAUGUAAGCUAAAAUGUACCGCGACAGAACGGUUUACGAGUUAUAUUAUUCUAUGAAGUCACGUUGAGUAUAUAUACGUUUAGGAACGUACCGCAUUAGGAGUUUUUAAGACCCCGCGCAUUUAUAUUCAAUCAUUUUUUUAGGCAAUUUAUAAUACCGCCGAGAAAACGCGGGACGCGUAAAGACGAAUUUAUCGGAGUAUUACGAAUCCGAUGACAAUAUCCUCGUCGUAGGUAGGUAGGUAGGCACUUAACGCGUACAGCGCAGGGCUCAUUGCACGCGCUCCGAUCACGGGGUAAUGAAUUGUGUGACGCAGUUGAUGUUAUAAUAAUAAUAAUAAUAUCACGAAGUGUAUUAUAAUAACUGGUAAUGUACCUAUACGUGCGGUGAGACGUAAUGAAAGUUCAACGGGCGUACAUUACACAGUAGUUUUAGUCGUAUUUUAUGCAUUAUAAUAACACUAAUAAUACCUAAUUAUUAUUAUUGUACGCGCGUGUUCGAUAUUGUACCUAUGGCGGUAGGGGUAGGUGUAGCACUCCACUACUAUACUCAUAUUAUAUUUAUACAAUAAAUGAUUUAUUCAAUACACACGCGCCUCGCACGGUAUCGCGAGCGCAUAAACACGUGUGGCGGCGGCGGCGGCAGCGUGUAGGUUAUAGUUAUACGGAUUAAUUUUGAAACUUUUGACGUGCAAAUCCCGUGAUUUCAGCGCUCUUACAGUUUAUAUACUGCGGUGGUUGUUUUCCAGAACGCGCCGCCCGUACGUCUAUACACACACACAUAAUAUACAGACGUACGUAUUAUAUUAUAUUAUAUAUGAUGCGUAAUGUCGACUCGGGUGCUUCCUCGUACCCGACAACGGAAUUUAAUAAUAAUAUUCGUCGUUCAUCAAAACGUAUAGCGAAAGCUUGCAGGUCUCGUACAUAUGCGCAAUAAUAAUAAUAUAUUAUAUAGAUAAACACUAAACUCUAAUAUUCCCAAAACGUCUCGAAUACGGUCGUAUAUAUGAAUACGUUAUUGCCAAAGGUACAUCGCGUACAUUAUAGAAGUAUACAGUUCGAGUGAAAACUAUUAUGUCCUAUGUACACGUCGUGUAGUAUACGUACAUAUGUAUAUAUAUAUGUAUUAUAUUAGUUUAUGCGGUGUAAAUCAUAUUUAUUUAUUUUCUUAUAGGCGACUGUAUUAUAGUACGACGUGUGUUAUUAUUUUUUUGUAGUAUCGGUCUUAGACGUGUCAACUUACAAUAUAAAUUAAAUAGUUAACAAUUCGGAGAUCGUGGAUUAAUAAGAUGAUAAUACUAUAUUUAAAAGGUUUUAGAAUUUACGUGUACGGUAAUUCACUGUCACCGAAAAAACAUUAGUUUACGAAUAAAGUAUAAUAAUAUAUAUAUACGUAUAUAUAGGUAUACCGUCAAUAAUGCGUGAGCGUAUAAUAGCAGCGUAUAGCUGAUGCAGUCGAAUGGGUUUUCUCUCGCCUCCUCGAAAAUUAAAUAUAAACUGAUUUGAAAAAAUAGAAAGGAAAAAAGAGGAUGAAACUUUUAAUAGAACUGUGGCCGAAAAAGUUUAAAUUUACUUUGUUGUUGUUCAUUGUAUAUACGCAGAGGAUAAUAUUCCUAAGUUAGAAACGUAACGCCACCGAUUGAUAGAUAAUCGUUUAUUUUCAAAAACACUCGCUGCCGCCCAUCCCGUCAAUCAAUCUGUCGUUCUUGCGUUUUAACAAGUUUAAAGUCCAUCCUAUCCACUCGCCCCGCCAUUACCUGCACACGAUUUGCGUUUGAUCGAUAUGGUUCAAAUAGAACCAUUGAAGGUGCGUUAGACUGUUGGCAAUAUUUUGAUAUUAUUCGACAUUGACAUUCGUGUAAUAGUGUAAUACAGAUUCGACGAAUCGCUUCACCGAUAUGAUAAUAUUAUUCAAAUUAGUUUGUAUGUAAUUUGGUUUAUCCACUAUGUCGUAUGUAUUAGGCCGUACUAAAUGAAAAAAAAGUCUGACAAAUUGUUAUUUGAAUAUAUUACUUUAUAAAAAUUGGUCACACUAUUUAUAAGGUCGUUUUCAUGUUUUAAUUUUAGAUAAGCUAUCUUAUUGUCAAAUAGGUGGUAUCAUCUGUAUAUUUGUGUAAACAAUUAAAAACUACAAAAAGGUAGGUAGGUAUAGGUAGGAGUACUACACUAUAGUAAUUUUAUAUUUGAUUUUACAAUUGCUUUUUCAAACAUAUAUAGCAUAAAGUAAAAAUUGUAAUCGCCAAGUUACGUUAUACAUAAUUAAAGAACUUAACAAUAAUGAAAAAUAUUUAAUCUAAUUUUUUAUUUUUUUACUUGUUUUACAAAAUGUAAUUUCUAGCCAUGUAAAGUAUUUUACGUAAAAAAUACAAAUCACUUUUUUAGGGAUGUAUAAAAAUAUUAUUUUUAGAAAACUGUGAUCGAAUUUAUAAGUCUCAUAUAGGUAUAAGUAUUAUGUAAUUUAGCAUAAGGAAUGGUGUAUGCACAUACUUAAAAUAAUUGAAGUGUAUAAUAGGGUAUAAAAGAGGAAUUUUUAGAGUAAAAUUGAAACCGUUCAUUAUUCGUACUGUAAUAUGCAAAAAAAACCGUUUAAGUUAAAUAUUAUCGUAACAUUUAUUAAUAAACUAAAUUAACAUUAAUUGCAUAUGAUCAUAAAAAUAGAUAGGUUCAUUGGUGGUCAGUUAUAAUUAUGUAGGUAGGUAUUAUAAUGAGUCAAUUAUAAAUGUACAAACAAUAGAACGAUAGUUUUGUCUUAAUCAAUAUUAUUGUGUUUUUAAUGGAAAAUAUUGAUCGUCUUGGAUAAUCGGGUGUAUGCAAAUUAUAGAUAAAUAUUUUUAUAUUAUGGAAAUAAUGAUCCGUCUAUUAUGGUAUUUCACAGAAAUGGGUAUUUCAAUUUUACGAACAACUGAACAAAUUGAGUAUCUUAUAAAUUUCACGUAAAAUGAUAAAUAACUGCACUAUGGCGUUUAAACGAUUGUAUAUACAUACCUGUAGGCGGGGUGGAGUGUAUAGGUAAGCGUUAUUACUUAUUAUCCUGCUGGUUCGGUCCUUAACGGCAGGAUCGUAAAAUUAUUGUUAUAGAAAGAUAUCAAACGAGCGCUCGAAUAAUAUAAUGUUAUGUUAAUGUUGUGCUUGAAUAGGCAUUUAAUAAUUGCCGUUCACAAGUCGGUCCGAUAUGGUACCCCACGCCGUCGUCGAGUAUAUAGGUGCCUACUAUAUAGAUAUAUUACAGCUGCUAGCCGUGUGCAUGUAUUAAAUAUGUAUAAUAUAUUAGUGCUGCCAUUAUAAUAUUAUGUAGGCAUUCGUUCAGAGGCGGAAACACAUUAGGCACGCUCGUUGAGAUCAUCGCGGAGUCGAAUUAAAUCACCGUACCGAGCGUUUUAUUUUAAACCUGCGGGGGAUGGUUGUCGAUAAUUAUACCGUUGGUAUUUAUCUAUUUAUUUAUUUUUAAUCCGCGUGCUUUAUACGGAGAUGGGUUGAUUACAGAAAUUACCGUAUUCAACGCACGUUUUCGCCCGGAAAAGUAGUGGGCCGGAAUUGCACAUAAUAAUAAUAGGUAGACGGUAUACUAUACGCCUCAUAGUAUAAUACAAUAUUGACAAAGUUAUGCCAAGCUUUUAGAAUUUAUUGUUUUGUUAACUUUUAUCGUCGUGUUAUAAUAAAUAUUGUACUGCCUCGUGUGUGUAUAUUUUUUGUGUUUUGAAGUGAAAACAAACAAACGCUUCAGAAUAUGUGUCGUUUGAGCAGUCUAUUGGUAUUAUUGUCCUUACUAAUAAUAAGUUUUCAGAAAACUUAUCGUUAUCGAAACAGCCAUAAAAUUACAACGGUAGAUGAAAAUUGUUAUCAUGGUAUUGCUAAAUUUAAAUAAAACACAUAAAAAUAGUAUUAGGUAUUACACUUUAUAAUUUUACCCUAAUAACACACACAAAUACGUAUAAUAUAUAAUUACUAUAUACAAGAGAAAAAUCUGAAGUCUUGAUAGAAUAAAAUCAUUGUUAGUUUAAUUAUUUUAAUGUAGAAUAUUGAAAAUAUUUAUAAUUUAUAUUACGCGUAUGAUAUACUUUUAAGUUCUUAGUGUAAGCAAAACCGUAUCACUUUUGAUGUAUGUACCGUAUUACUAAUGCACUUACGCGACACAUCAGUUAGUUAUGAGUAUUUUGUUAAUUUAUCCAUAUUUAAUGUGAAAAUAUAUUAAAAUUAUAAUGUAAAUAUGUAAAAUAUACUUACCUGUUCUGUAUCGGUACUCGUUGCUCAUUUUUGAAAUUAUUUCAUAAAUAGGAACAAAUCUUUUAAAAAUGCAUUUUUUGGAUAUGUUUUCUAUUAACCUAUUGUCUAUCACAUAGUCAUUAUUUUUUAUAAAACUGUAGGUAAUCUUUCAAUCGGGCUAUGAAUACACUGUGGUUUUAACAAUAUACUAUAUUAUUAUUAUUAUUUUGACUAACGUUUGUUGAUAAUUGAUAUUAUAUGGUGACAUUAACUGACUUCUAGUAAUAUAUAUAUUAUUGAAUGUUUCACAAUAUUAGGUAUUAAAGACACUUGUUAAAUGUGUGUAGUAUAUGUGUAUGUGUAUUUUUUUCAAUAAUAUUAUUAUGAAUGAAGCUUGUUAAUUGUAGUGUGCAAUUCGAAUUGGUGCAUAGUUUAUUAGACAUAAUAUGUCACAUUUACAUUUAAUUGAGUGCUUUUAAUAUUAUAUAACAUAAUACACGUACCUACCUACGCUGUAAAAAGUCGUAUUUAUCCAUUAUUGUUAUAUAAAUUAGGUUUUUAUAAAAAGAAAAAAAAUGUAUAAAUAGAAUUAAUUUUGUCAAUGGUAUAACUGGUAUAAGUAACAUAUAUUAUAAUAAGAGACGCUGUAAAUACUUAAAAGUUUGUGAAAUCAAUUUGCCUAAAAGUGUUUGAUGAAAAGUAUUUGUUUUCGAUUACGUAAUGUUUAUUUAAGACCAAUGGUUGAUUAUAAUAAUAUAAUACUGAUAAUAAUUCCCUUAUUAUUAUACAAUGAUAUUUUGUAAUAUAUGUAAUCAAUUAUAAAAUACCUGUUGUUGAAUUUUUGGUCUGAAAUUGUAUAAGUUUUUUUAAAUGAAUAAAGGUUUAUAAAAAUGUUUGAUGAAAAAAUGUUUAGAAUGACAAUAUUUGGUAAUAAUAAUAACAGAAUGUGUACCGUACACGUAUUAUAAUGUAUAUUAUAAAGACUGUACAGACGUUAUCGAACUUAUUGGAGUUGAAUUGUAAAUUAUAUUAUUGAAUAUCCAAAUGAGAACUAUUAAUAAGUACACAAUAAAUAGGUAGCUUACUCGCGUAAUAAAAUAUAUUAAACUUGCAUUAUUGUAUAUCACUCAAAUGAAAGCUAUAUGCUAUUUUAUAAACACCAAAUUAAAUGGGUAAUAUAUUUAAAUAAUUAUAGGUUAAAUCACAACAUAAAAAAUAAUAAACACAGGACGUAUGUAUGAUUAUUUGAAAAACGUAUAUGGAUUAAAAGGAAAUAAAAAUAUAUAAUUAUUCUAUUCGAUAUUAAGUAGGUAGGUAUUAAUAACAAUGUAGCUACUGUGCACAUUUGUGCUUAACUAUCCAUUUACAUUUAUGUGUUUAAUUGAUAAUUAUUCGUAUAUUGAUAUCUCCUGCACUGUCUAGUACUAAGCGUUAAUUUUCAUAGUACCUGUAUGGUACGUAAACACAAAAUUUAUGUUUAUUGUUACUUUAACAUUUUACGCCUAUAUUAUUAUAGCAUCUACUCAAAGAAAUAUAAAAAUUAUGGACUUUUAUAGUACCUAAAUUCAUUUUUUAAAUAUCGUUAUGAAAUGCAACGCACUUCAUUUUGAUAAUAUUUUACAGUUCUAUGGAAUUAGUUAUUAAGUGGUUGAAAUUAAUUUAGCGCACAAUUUACUCAAUUGUAACUACAUUUGCUAGAAUAGGUUAUUGAGUGAGUUUUAAUAUUACACCCAGGCAUACACGGGUAGCUUACCUAGAGUUGGCCAUAGUUUAAAAUGUAUUAUUAAAUACAAUUUUAGAAUAACUUUAAGAAAGGUAUAUAGCGCGGCUAUACCUAAAGUUUUACGAAAUAUAAACAAAUUAUAUAUACUUGAGAUGUGUAGUUCAAUCACUUUAGUUAAGGCUUUCAUAUGUCAUAACAUUGUAAAACAUACUAAAAGUGUACAAUAAUACCUGUCCUAUCUUGUAGAUUAUAGAGUAUAGAAAACAAUUUUGAUUUUUAAUACAAUUUAAAUGAUACAGGAUAUUCGUAUGAGUUAAAUUUGAUAAGACAUAAGUAAUAGCAUUAAAAAGAUUACUUUCAGUGUAAUACUAAGUUAGUGUGACUCGUGUAAUCGUGUAGACAGUAUAGACAUAAUAUACAUAGUAUCUAGAUAUACAGGUUGUAAAAUAUAUUUAAAUUACACGGUGUUGUGAAUAUUAUUUUGGUCAAUCUAUGUUCUAUAAAUAAGAAUCUUUUUGAAAUGUACCUGUUAAGAGUGAAAAAAAAAAUGGAAUUUAACUUGUUGCACUUAUUAUAUAUUUUUGUCGAAAUAUUCACCCGUAAUUCUACUGGAUAAUAAAUUCUAUCUAAUUUAUUUAACAUUGAUAGUUGACAAUAUACAGUAUUUAUAAUAUUAGAUAUUUAUUUGUAUUUAUAAUAUAACUAAUAAUUAUAUGGAAUUACAAGUUGUUAUUUUAACAUCAUGAAUUACACAUUAACAUAAUAUAAUAUGUUAAAUUUUAACCAAAAAUUAUGGUUACCAAAAUUAUUAUUAUUAAAUAAAAAUGUGUAUUAAAUAUUUACCAAUAACAAAAAUUAUAAUUAUCGGAAAUUAAUUUACUCAAAUACCUAACCACUGUUAUAGGUAGGUGUCUAUUUAUUUUAUCAGAUAGAACAAUAAGUAUAUUUUACAAUAGCACUUAAAUAUUUACUAUUAACUGUUACAAUAAAAAUGUAUAUUUUAAUAAACGGUUUUACAGUGUUUGUUCGUUUAAUCGUCUAUAUUUAUCAAAUUGUAUUAAUUAUUUAUGAUUAGUAAAUCAUAGUCGGUGUGAUGUCCAAUGCCCUAUAAGUACCUACUAUUACGUAGUAAAUAUAACGCAAAACCAAAGUUUAAUGUAUCAUAGCGAUAUCGAUAGGUAGGUAAUUGAAAUAGUUUAUUCGAUAGUUGACUCGUUAACGACCGCCAAGAAUAGAAUUUAAUGUGGUUAGACGACAAUGAUAACUUAAGUCACACCACUCGCAGUCUAUUCUGUUCAAUAUGAUUCGUAUGUUUUCACAAUAAUGUUAUUUGGAUGUCGGCCACCCACGUCUUUCAGUCAGGGAUAUAUUGAGGAUUAUGAAUAUAAUUAAAGAAUAAUAUAGGCACACACGUGGCUGUCACAAUCGAAUUGGAAAUGAAAACAACACUGUAAAACCGUAAUAAUGCAUAAUAGAUGGGUGGUAUACGUGCCCCGCACGAUAUCGAAGUGGUUAAAUUGAAGUGGUGUAUUUAAUGAUUUAAUUCGCUGUACCGCGAUCGAAUUUCAGGCUGAUAGAAUAAAAGAUGCACAAUAUAUUACUAUUAUUGUUAGCUGUCUUUUAGAGUACCUUUUAAUAAAUCAGAGUGUAAGAGCCGAAAAUCCUUGAAAAUUAUGUUCUAAAAACUUAAGGUAUUUUAAUAAAACCGAUUGUUAAGUAGGAUAAACACGUAGGUAAUAACAAAUGUGUAUAGUAUUUAAAACAAAAUAAUUACGAUGAUCCAAAAGUAUAGGUUUGGCAUAUUAUUGCAUUAUAUAUUAUAUUUGUGUCACUGACACAAACAUAGUAUCUAUUGAUACUCUUUUGUGCACUAAUAGAGUAACUGAUGCAAUUAUUAUUGUUUAUUUAAUUAAAACGAAAAGUGUUAGGUAGGUUAAUUUAUACUAAAAUAUUCUUAAAUCGAUACAAUAAUAGGUAGGUACUCGACCAUUGUCUUUAUGAUGAUUUAAACAUCUAUAAAUUAAAGCGUGAAAUGCUAGGAAAAAUAGCUUUUUAACUUUAAAUAUAUAGGGCAUGAACCCCACUUAUUAAAAUGCUUUUGAUUUAAUAAUAAAUUAUGAUAAGUAUUUCAAAUUGACAACUUUAUUGCCCAUAGGUCAGAAUAGCCGUAUAUCAGGAUAACUAUACCUUAUGUAGAUUUUGUUUUAUAUCGUAGAAUGUAGAUACUAUACCAUACUAUUAUCUUUUGAUUAAUUCGAACGCUAUUGAAUUUAAUCGCGCAAGACAUAUUUCUACUUAUAGUAUUAUUAUUUUUUUUUAUAGUUAUACACAAGCUAUAUAUAAUAAUCUUUUAUAGGUACUCCUCUUUCGAGAUCGAGAUAGAAUUAUCGCUCACCUAAUGUCAGUAUUCGGAGUUAUUAUCAAUAAGUCGUUCUCGUUUUCCCAUAUACUGAUUAUUUUAUGAUCAAGCCUGUAUUUAGAAUUUUUUGCUGUCUUCAUUUUUGUUUAACUCGCCCUGGCAAUACAAAACCGACCUUAAAACUUUGCCCGGAGAGCGAAAUAAAACUUAUUCAAAUGGAAGACUUAUAAAAUGUUUUGCGAUUUUCAAAACUCAAGUAAAAAAAAAAAAUUAACCCAAACUCAGAAAGUCUUGGAGAAAGCUAUGGGGACGACCGUUUUUAUAAACUUUUAUAGUUUUCGUAUACACGAGUCUACCUAUAUUGAUGUUUUUGACAAUUUAAUUAACACUUUGGUAGUAGUGUUCUUUUACUUUCAACGUUAUUUUUUUUCGGAUAAUAAUUUGUUGAAAUAUCGUUCAAACUAAAUACAUUUAAUUUGUACCUAGGUAUCUAGGUUUUUGCAAUCUCAUAAAAUGUAUUUUCUUCAACAUAACAUGUUUUUUUUAAAAAUACGAAAAUAAACUUUUAACCAGUUAACAAUGCUGUAUAAAUUACGAAUAAUGAAUUAUUUAACUUUUUAGUAAAAAUUAUUAUUAAGUAUACCAACAUUGAGGAGUAUCAAAAUGAUUAUGUAUUAUUUCUAAUUCAAUGUAGUAACAUUGCAAUAUUCAUAUUAAUAGUUAUUAUAUAUUUUACUAUUGCGCAUUUACAAAUGCCAAAUAUUUUGUAAGAAGACCACUUUGUUGUACAAAACACAGAUUUAAUGAUAUUAUAUGGGUACAACAGACUAUAAUAACGUACAAAAUAUUUCAUUCUCAUAAGACGCUUGUCCCUUUGUGCUUCACUGUCGCUUAAUUGGUUUGCAAAUUAUAAGACGGCCAUCGGUGUCGUAUAUACUAUGUAUUCUAAGUUCUGUGUUGUUUGUAAAACGAAGACUGUUAUUUUGCAGUAAUAUUCGAUGCGUUUAAAAUUUGAAAACACUGUUUCCCUUCAUAAGUUGUAAACAGAGUUCACGAUUUUUACAUUUGUACGUUUCUGAGUCUUCUGUUGUAUUUCAUUUCUCAGCACAAAGUCUUAUGACAUAGGAAGAACUUGAGUUUUGUUUAUGACUGGACUGAAAUAUAAUCUUUUAUAAUAGUGUUGUAUAAGGUUCCUUUUUAAUUUAAUUUCGUAAUUUAUAUCGUAUUUCAAAAUAAAUACUAUUUAGGACCAUUUUAUACGUAUACUGUACGCACAUUCAAAAUGUGUUAUGUAUAUUUGAAGAAACAGCAAUAUCCCGUUCAAGGAAUUAAAAAUUAAAAAAUGAUUAGUUAUUACCGAAUUUAUCAGGUAUAGCAUAAUAUAAUAUAAUAAUACAUUCAUAAAAAAUAAUUAUAGGUUGGGUAAAUUUUUUAUUAGACCUAAAUUAGCCUGUAUAAGUAAAUUAAUAACUUAAUUUUAUAGGUGUAUUGUUAUUGAAAUGUUUAACAGUAAUAUAUACAAGAAUUAUAAUUCUAUUCAUGUGUUUUUUAAGAGUAUUCAUAAAGCCUCAUCCCAAUACGCAAAAUUAUCACUUAAAAAAAUGUCUAAGUGACCACUAUUUCUAUUUUAAGAAAAUAGUUCCAAGACAUUUGUCUUAUUUUUGAUUAUACCUGUGAAAAUGUUAAUAAACAGUGUUUAUUUGUUAAAAUAUUUAUCCUAUGAAGUUUCAAACGAUAACAUUAUAACACUAAAGUAAAUUAAUUUUAGAAUUUAUAUUCACAAAAUUCACAGAAAUUUACAUUGCUUAAAAUAAUGUCAAAUAAUAAUAUCAACCAUAUAUUGUGUAAACGUUUUUAGAAUUAAUCGUUCUUAUCAUUUAAACCUGAUUUUUCUAACAGGUACGAUGUAAUAUUAUAUAUUUCUAUGGAGAAGGGUGGGAGAAAUUGGGGUUGAAAUAGAAUUUACGCAGGCUAAGCAUACUUUAUCCAAUUGCGGCUAUAUCUAUUGCCUCGUCAUCAGAAUUUGAGUAUCAUUUGUAGUUUAUAUAGUUUGUGAAACUUGUCAAUCAAUCGGGGAGUGCAUAGUUUAAGCUGAUGCGAUUUUGGUGGUUGAUGAUAAACAUUUUGGAUCGAGUUUCAUCCGUGUGAAUUUUAUUCACAAUAUUGAUUGGAACUACGUUUUUUUACUUUUUAUUUAUUGAAACGCAAUUUAUUAAUUGAUUUUUGUUUUGGAGUUUUUUACAGACACGCCGCUCAGCUUCGCAGACGCCAAUGAUGUUCUGAGGGGCCACUGUAGGUUCAGCUUGCUGGCCACACGUCCCUCAUCAUAUUUAAAAUGAACAUUAGGGUUGUAUAAUUUUGGUGGCGUGUAUAUUAUAUAUAUAUUAAUAAUAUAUUGCCUAAAUGAGGAUAAUUAAUUUUAAUUAAAUGAAUGAACUCCGCUUUCCACAGAAGUACGUUAUUUAUUGACCUUUAUUGACAUUGGAUAAUUGUUUCAUAAACCAAUUAAUUUCAUAUUGUAACUACGUCAAUGGCUUCAAACUUUUAACUGCAUUAGAAAAACUCAUAGUAUAGUUAUUAAUUUGGUUAUCUUUUCUUAGUUUCGAGUUCAACGACUUAUUUCAAAAGUUGCAAACUUAAACAGUAAAACCUAUUCGGUUGUGUGUAACCAUAUAAUCAAAUGGUAUAGGUAUAUUCGCGCCAAUCAUACGUAUAAAAUGUAUAAUUAGUUUUAUACUUUUGUUUCAACUGCUAAUAUCCUCAUGAUAAAAAAAAAAUUAUUUGAAAUUUGUGAAUGUUAUUAUUUAUUAAAUCAUAUCAAUAAUAAAUUGCCAAAAUAACAAACAUACGUCGAAAACUCGAGUGAAUAAUCGAUGGUAAUUCUGAGCGGGGCUUGGAAUGUAUUGAUUUUACAAUGAUUUGUGCUUUUUAAUUUUAUUUUUAUGUCAGAAGACACAUUUUUAGUAGAAAAAAUGCUUUGAUUUUCAACUUCGGGAAGAUUUCUGAUAGAUUAUUAAAUCUAGUUCGUAUUUAAUGGGGAAGGGGGCAGGGAGUAAAAAAAGAUUCCCAGUACUUUUUAAAGCAAUCAAUAACUAUAUGUAUAUAGUUGUUGAUUGCUUUUAUAUAUAUUUAUAGAAUUCAAACAUUUGUUAACAUUUUUUAUAUUAUCAUUAAAAUAAUUGUUUUGGCAGUCUCCGCUCAGAAUCGUUUUUCGUAUUCAAUGAUCAUUGAAUUCUGCAAAUUUAACGCAUCUAUUACAGUGACCCAAUCAAUGAUGAUGUACACUCGACACCUAUCUGUAUAUCGCAGAGUGGUCACCGACUCGUCCACCUUUAAUUAUCUUAUUUUUAUAUAAUAUAUUAUUAUAAGCACCUGCAUCUGUAUCAUUGACUGAUAACUGUUCACUUAAUAUAUUAACAUUAAAAAAAAAAAUGUUCUUUUUUUUAUAUAAUAAUUCAAAUUAUAUGAUAUUUUAGAUGUUUGAUGUGUUAUUACAAUAAAUUAUCAAUAUUAAUUUCAUAAAA